AAAGUGACGGCUAACUACGUGCCAGCAGCCGCGGUAAUACGUAGGUCACAAGCGUUAUCCGGGAAUUAUUGGGCGUAAAGGGUGCGUAGGCGGCUAUUUAAGUUUAAGGUUAAAGUUCAGAGCUCAACUCUGUGAUGCCUUAGAAACUGGGUAGCUAGAGUACAGGAGAGGUGAGUGGAAUUCCAUGUGUAGCGGUAAAAUGCGUAGAGAUAUGGAGGAACACCAGUGGCGAAGGCGGCUCACUGGCCUGUAACUGACGCUGAGGCACGAAAGCGUGGGGAGCAAAUAGGAUUAGAUACCCUAGUAGUCCACGCCGUAAACGAUGAAUACUAAGUGUUGGAGUAACAUUCAGUGCUGCAGUUAACGCAAUAAGUAUUCCGCCUGGGGAGUAUGCACGCAAGUGUGAAACUCAAAGGAAUUGACGGGGGCCCGCACAAGCGGUGGAGUAUGUUGUUUAAUUCGAAGCAACGCGAAGAACCUUACCAGGUCUUGACAUGGCUCUAAAUGCCCUAGAGAUAGGGAGAUAGCUAUAGAGCACACAGGUGGUGCAUGGUUGUCGUCAGCUCGUGUCGUGAGAUGUUGGGUUAAGUCCCGCAACGAGCGCAACCCUUGUCGUUAGUUACCAUCAUUAAGUUGGGGACUCUAGCGAGACUGCCGGUGACAAACCGGAGGAAGGUGGGGAUGACGUCAAAUCAUCAUGCCCCUUAUGACCUGGGCUACAAACGUACUACAAUGGCAAGAACAACGGGAAGCGAUGUGGUGACACAAAGCGGAUCUCUGAAAACUUGUCUCAGUUCGGAUCGAAGUCUGCAACUCGACUUCGUGAAGUUGGAAUCGCUAGUAAUCGCGGAUCAGCAUGCCGCGGUGAAUACGUUCUCGGGCCUUGCACUCACCGCCCGU
rnacentral:rRNA from 1 species